UCGAGCGAAAGAAGGGAGCUUGCUCCCGGAUGUUAGCGGCGGACGGGUGAGUAACACGUGGGUAACCUGCCUGUAAGACUGGGAUAACUCCGGGAAACCGGAGCUAAUACCGGAUAGUUCCUUGAACCGCAUGGUUCAAGGAUGAAAGACGGUUUCGGCUGUCACUUACAGAUGGACCCGCGGCGCAUUAGCUAGUUGGUGGGGUAAUGGCUCACCAAGGCGACGAUGCGUAGCCGACCUGAGAGGGUGAUCGGCCACACUGGGACUGAGACACGGCCCAGACUCCUACGGGAGGCAGCAGUAGGGAAUCUUCCGCAAUGGACGAAAGUCUGACGGAGCAACGCCGCGUGAGUGAUGAAGGUUUUCGGAUCGUAAAGCUCUGUUGUUAGGGAAGAACAAGUGCGAGAGUAACUGCUCGCACCUUGACGGUACCUAACCAGAAAGCCACGGCUAACUACGUGCCAGCAGCCGCGGUAAUACGUAGGUGGCAAGCGUUGUCCGGAAUUAUUGGGCGUAAAGGGCUCGCAGGCGGUUUCUUAAGUCUGAUGUGAAAGCCCCCGGCUCAACCGGGGAGGGUCAUUGGAAA
rnacentral:rRNA from 1 species